GCCUGAGUGGCUCAGUGGUUGAGCAUCUGCCUUUGGCUCAGGGCAUAAUCCCGGUCCUGGGAUUGAGUCCCACAUCAGGCU
rnacentral:tRNA from 1 species